UUUCCACCAAAGAGUAAAGUUGUCCACCACAUUUUUAGAGGUGCGGUCUAUCCUCAACUUGCACAGCUUAGAGAUUCUUUUAAAGGAAAACUCUGUUCUGUCCAAUCCAUUCGGUCUGGGACAGCUGCAUGUCCUGUACUGUGUGUCUAAGGAAGAUGGGACAGCUCUAGGAAGUACGCAUUGCCCUGGUUAACAUAAUGAAUGAAUCUCUCGGUCACUCAAAUCUUGGAAGUGUCCUUCCUUCGCCCUCCUCCUCACUGGAACCUCAGAAGGGUUCCUUGACUACGCUCGGGGGAGUCCCACUGACAUCACUGUUAACUUGCUCAGCUGCCCUAGAUGGCAGUUGGACUGAGUGGAAUGGCCGAGCACAUGAUGGAUAUAGCACGUGUGGAAUGCCUAACAUGAGGGUCCACAGGUGUGGCUGAUGGGGAACAGUUUAUAUCUGUUGCUAGGCAACGGUGAUUGGCUUACAUGUCUUCGGAGCCCACAGGAGGCUCGCUGAGGAGAAAUGGCAUCUAUUUUUUUUAACCAACCCCAUGAAAUCAAUCCCUGAAGAACGUCUGGAGUCAAAGGCUAAAAAGGUUUGGCUGACUAACGUUACAUGAUACAUAAAUGAAGUUACAUUGUUAGGGUUACGUACCUGAAUGUCGAGGUAUCAGAGUGGAGAAAUAUCAUACAGUGUAGAGGACGGACACCUUGGCCUUUCAGAGCACAUACCUUGAACAUUAACCCUGGGGAUUGGUGGUGGAUUUGCCGCUGGAGACCUCCUGCAGAAGAAUAAAUAAUAACACUAUGAUUCUCUUGUUUGUGGAUACACUCAGGUCUGAAAGCUGCGUUCGAAUAUGCCUGGUUUUUGCCCCCUUAAUAUGAGCUGACUGAGAACUAUUCACAUGGUUAUGUGAGUGGUGCAGAUGCCACCUGAAGCUAAAUCUGUUUAGUGGCUAUUCCGCAAUACAUCAGUUCAUAUGCAGAGCUUUCUCAUGAGGAUCAGCAUUUUAUUUUCUGUGUACCUCCCUAAAAUGUGUUUCAAAGAGGAAGACACACAUUGGUGAAGCUGCUGCAUAUAAACAUGGUGUUACUGGUGUGAAGCAAAUCUGUUAAAUGUAGAAUUACAAAAAAUGAAAUUAUGAUCUGAAAAAAAUGUCAUGUGUGUGGAGGGGGCUACUUGUAAGGGACAAGCUUCAUACUAAGCAAAGAAAUAUAUAUUAUCACAUGUACUUUUAAAUCAAGAUCAGACUGACACUUGGAAGUUAUUGGUUUAAUGUUCAACUGAGGAUAAAGUUAUUAGGUGGCCCUUCUCAAGUUACAGUCCUUAAGAUUUGGCUACCACCUAACAUUUACAUUGUUAGUUUAAUAACCUUGAUGAGCCCUGCUACUAUAAGGAAAUCCAGUCUCAACACAAUCAUUCUUACUAGGAUCCAAUGGUAUACACUGGAUCCCAUUGCUUUUGCAAAGGCAGUGCAUUCCUAUUCUUCCUGCAGUUCCCUGUGUACCUAAACACUUGCUUUGGAGGUCAGGGAGAUGCUUUUGGCUCCAUGGAGAGCUGUGGAAAGGGGUGGCAGGGAAAGAAGGUUCUGAUUCUUGAGGCGGAAGUAGAGCAUAGGAUCUUGGCCUUGGAUUUUCAUGAUUCACAAAAAGUAGGUGAUAAGCUACCUGUAUUAAAUUUGGUUUACACAGAUAUUUUACAGUAAGCUUCCAGACAAGUAUCUGCAACUCAAAAGCUACAUUUGCAAAAAUCAUCUUGGUAUCUGUGUUACAGUGCACACCUAUUGACCGUCUAAUGAGAAAUAAUUUACAAUGAGUCCACUGAAACUUACUCCCUAAUAAGUGUUAACAGAAUUAACUUCUGAAUGUGUUAUCUCAGUAGAAAAAUCAAUACAUACAUAUAAAGUAAAAAAAGA